GUCGUGAGAUGUUGGGUUAAGUCCCGCAACGAGCGCAACCCUUGUCUCAUGUUGCCAGCGCGUUAUGGCGGGGACUCGUGAGAGACUGCCGGGGUCAACUCGGAGGAAGGUGGGGAUGACGUCAAGUCAUCAUGCCCCUUAUGUCCAGGGCUUCACACAUGCUACAAUGGCCGGUACAAAGGGCUGCGAUGCCGUGAGGUGGAGCGAAUCCUUUCAAAGCCGGUCUCAGUUCGGAUCGGGGUCUGCAACUCGACCCCGUGAAGUCGGAGUCGCUAGUAAUCGCAGAUCAGCAACGCUGCGGUGAAUACGUUCCCGGGCCUUGUACACACCGCCCGUCACGUCAUGAAAGUCGGUAACACCCGAAGCCGGUGGCCUAACCCCUUGUGGGAGGGAGCCGUCGAAGGUGGGAUCGGCGAUUGGGACGAAGUCGUAACAAGGUAGCCGUACCGGAAGGUGCGGCUGGAUCACCUCCUUUCUAAGGAGCACCAAUUCAUUCCCCCGUGCCUCACAUGUGUGAGGGGUUCGCGGUUGGGAGAUCAGUGCCGGGCCCUGUAGUGGGUGUCCGGCCGGUGCACGACAAACAUCUGUGUCGGUAGGGGAAACUGCCGGCGCGAAAUCAUCAGACACACUAUUGGGCUUUGAGACAACAGGCCCGCUAUCUCUUCGUCCCGUUGUGGGAAACCGGGGAUAGGACUGGUUGUCGCUCCAUCUUUGGUGGUGGGGUGUGGUGUUUGAUUUGUGGAUAGUGGUUGCGAGCAUCUAGCACGCAUGGGCGCCGGCCUUCCUUUGUGGGGGGUUGGUGUUUUGUGUGUGUUGAUGUGCAAUUUUGUUAGCCUGCAUCCUUUUUGGGUGUGGGUGACUCAUUUUUUGGUUUUGUGUUGUAAGUGUUUAAGGGCGCAUGGUGGAUGCCUUGGCACUGGGAGCCGAUGAAGGACGUGGGAGGCUGCGUUAUGCCUCGGGGAGCUGUCAACCGAGCGUGGAUCCGAGGAUGU
rnacentral:sRNA from 1 species